rnacentral:rRNA from 1 species
AUGGUCUCCGAGGGCGCCAUGAUGUGCCUCUCCCUCGCCUACGUGGCCGACAAGGUGCCCGAGGGGCGGCGAGCGGCGGCCUUCGGGGUGUUCUCCGGCGUCUGCACUGCCGGCUUCGUAGGCGGCACCAUCGCGGCCCGCUUCCUCUCCGUGUCCUCUACGUUCCAGGUGGCGACGUUGGCGUCCGUUGCUGCGGCGGUGUACCUGAGGGCCUUUGUCCAGGAGACGGACCGCGGAGCGUCGCUGCUGCGCGACGAGGAGGCCUCGCGCCUGCUCUUCCCUACCUCCUCUAGCCCCGAGGAGGCGUCGCCGAGGCUCCCGCAUCUCCGGAAGGCGCCGUCGCUGUCGGAGAUGGCCACCCUUCUUACCAGCAGCUCAACUUUCACAAGAGCAGCGGUCGUCACAUUUUUCCACAGCCUUGGCGAAACAGGCCUGCAAACUGCAUUACUGUAUUUCCUGAAGGCCCAAUUCCACUAUACCAAGAACCAGUAUGCUAAUUUGUUGCUUAUUAUUGGCAUUACAGGAAGUUUCUCACAGCUGACCAUGAUGCCUUUCUUAGCGCCGAAGCUGGGUGAGCAGAAGCUACUUGUCGUGGCACUUACAGGGAGCUGCGUGCAUGGAUUCCUAUACAGCAUUGCAUGGUCAUUCUGGGUCCCUUAUCUUGCUGCAAGCUGUGUGAUUCUAAGCAUUUUGGUCGGCCCUUGUAUAAGGAGCAUUGUAUCAAAAAAAGUAGGGCCUUCUGAGCAGGGAAUGGUUCAAGGCUGUAUUACAGGAAUCAGCUCAACUGCAAGUGUCAUAUCUCCUCUAGUUUUUACUCCGCUCACAGCAUGGUUCCUAUCAGAGACCACACCUUUCAACUUCAAAGGUUUCAGCCUGGCUUGUGCUGGAUUUGCUACGUUGGUGGCACUCAUAAUGAGCAUUAAUAUGAGGCCAGCAGAGGUUCAGCCAGAUACCAGAUAG